AUGAGGUUGCGUUCUGUGGGGCAGGCGGGAUUUUCAAUGAGUGUCUGAGAGCCCCCACCUCCAGCUCCUCCUCCCACUCCUGCAGUCGGACGUGGCAGGAGACUUCUCAGCAUGGCCUCAGCCUCAGCCUCAGCCUCAGCGGCAGGGUACUCAGAGGGCCUGGGGGAGGGGAGGCAGGAGGCAGAGCUCUGACACUCCGCAGUAGUACCACCCUUCCCUGUGCUCCCACCCAUCGUGCAGGGGAGGCCUUGCUUUCUGGUCACCAGGGAAGCGAGGAGGCAUCGGCCCAGGACAGUAGAGAGCUGGGGCAGGAAGGAGCCUGGGAGAAGCAGAAGUCAAUAAGCAGCAGAUCAGGAGCCAUGUGGAGCAGCCUCCGUCUGCCCGGCAGCCCAGAUGUGGCUUCAGUGACUGCCCAGGGCCUCUCUCCACUCCGGUGGCUGCUGUGCUCCUGCCCAGGGCCCACGGGUGCAGUAGCUGUGUGUCAUCCCUGCCCUUCCUCCUCUCCCUCCCUGUCUCCCUCCUCCCUGCCUCCUUCCUGCCUUCACCAUCUCUAAGCACCUACCUUUAUCUCCAAGGAAGAAAGCUCAUAGAAUGACUAUUUCCAGGGACAUUUGAAUUUUAUGAGUGCUUCUCAAGCCCCAAAGGCAAAGGGAAUGAAAUCAUAUUCGUGGAAUCUGACAGGCUGUUUUGGAGGGGACUAGAAGACAGGAGGGCCUCCUAGGCUCCAUUCUGAAUAGACACACCUAGAUCAUCCCUCCCUCCCUCCUUCCUCGUUUCUCUUCCAGGGGUUUCCCUGGGCUAGGCCCUGGGCUUGACACUGGGAUGCAAAGGGACUGAGUCCUGGCCUGAAGGAAGGCCUCGCUCCUGCCAACCCUGCAGAAAGUGCUGCUUUUCCCAGAGGAGAGAGCAGGGCUCCUGCUGGAGAUGGCGUUGGGAGUGAAUUCUCUACUCUCUCAUGGUCUGUCUGAUGAGCUCCCUCUGGAGUCGGUUCAGCCCUGGUGAACCGGGGGUUCCCAGUCCCAGUUUCCUUAGAGUCAGCUUUGUCAGGGCUCUGGCGACUGUGGAAGGAUUUGUGGCUAGAGGCUGAGCCCAGGGCCUGGUGGACUGACCGAACCAGGGCCUGGUUUAAGUGUGGUCAGGCUCCUGUGCACGCUCAGAGCUGGGGACAGGGGGACCUCUGAUGUCCUCCCUAAGACACAGUGAGACCCAGAACCUCUCAGCUCUGUGCUCCCCUGGCUUUGGUGACUUGGAAAAGGCUGGUGAGGGGUAAAAAACAGAGAGUUUGGUCUGGCCCCAGGCAGGUUCCCUGAGCAGCUGCAGGCUGUGGCUUCUUGUUCUCUGUGGGCCUGAAUGCAGCCGGUGAAGUGAGCCCUCAAUCCCAGGACAGCUCUGCCAGCGCUCACCAGCCCCUGCACACAGUCCCACAAGGAGAUUCUGCUCUGUCCUCAUCCUGUCUCUGAAGACCCUUCCUCUCUGUGGCCCACAGGACUGGCUACAUAAUUUGCUAAGCCCAGUACAAAAUGAAAAUGCAAGAUUCCUUCUUAAAAAAUUAAGAAUCUCAAGAUAGCAACAGCAGAACAUUAAACCAAGUGUGGGGCCCUUCUGAAUGCCACAGAGCCAGCUCUGGCUGCCCAAUAUUUACUUCUCAAAGGGAGACUGUGGAAACAUCAUGGGAACAACUCUAAAUGGGAAUUCUCAGGCCCUGGUGACAGGCGGCAGAGGAGUUAGGCCCACCUGAUACUCUCAAAUUGCACCCUGGGGACUAGGGACCACCCACACCAAUUCCCACCGUAAAAGUGGACCCUGCUCAUCCUCCCAGCUGCUUGGAAGGGAAGAUAAACACUGCAGAGUGCAGGAGCGCUCAUGCUGAGAGCAGAGAGAGAGGUUUAAUGGGCUUGUUAUCAGGCACCUGCUGAGCAGUCCUUCUCCCAAGAAGACAGGACUCAGAGAUAAAUGACCUGGCCUGAGCAGCCUCCUGGUGAGAAGAGAAAUGCCUGGAACAGGAAGUGGUGAAUCCAUAGACCAGGCAGGUCAUAGGGGCAGGCAAAGAUUUGCGGGGAGAAAAGCAGCCCUCCUUCUGUACAGUUGUCAACCAUCCAAGGUACCAAUCAAUCUAGAAAUAUUUGCUGCAGGUCUUCUGGGCUCCCAGUGUUGUAGAGAAUGCAGAGAGGUACCCAUCUGGUCCCUGCCUCCAAUGAGCUCACCAUCUAGUUGGGAGACCCGACCAGCCUCACCUCCUUGAGGAUUGGGGCUGCGAGCUGUUCACCUGGCAGGGCCUGGCCCAUGGAGGAGACUGAAGAAAAACUAUCAACUGAAUGAAUUAAACUGAAACACUGGUAGCAAGGAGUAGAAACAAUGACCUCUUCAGAGUUCAGACAAGGAGAUUCAGAAUGACAAAAGAGAGCAUUCAGCUGAUUGAAGAAUUUCACAGCCACCCACUGAAGCCACUGGAGAUCUGAGGAAUCCCAAAGACAAGAAUGGGAAUCUCUCCCUUACCCUCAGAGAACCUUCAGAAGGCCAAGGGUUUCCCUUGGCCCCUAGGUGGAGGUAACCCAAACAGCAUGUGUCAGCUGAGCACUGGGCCUGACCUGCCCUGGACGGAAGUUCCUGCCUUGGAUUGGCCACUGGACCUGCCCUGGAGGGAAGUGCCUGACCUGGAUUGGCUGCUGUGGGCUAGCUGGGCUGGGGCUUCCACAGAAGAGCUGCCUUCUUGAAGGGUUAAAGCAUCAGCUCCAGGAAAUCAGGGUCAACCCGUGAUCUCCCAUUAGGGUUCAGGUGAUGGUCUAACCUGCUGUGCCUCCUCCAUCAUGGGCUUGAUGAACACUGACUGGAUUUGAAUGCCCAAAAGUCUGGGACUGAGUCAAGCUGUCUGGAACUACUGUCUGGAAGAGCCUCUUCCCCAUCCCAGCAACUGUACCCAUCAAUCAGGAACUGUUGCUGAACCCAGGGCUGCCUGGAUAAACAUUUAUAAGACCCAGAGGGAUCAUUAGUAGAGGGUAGAGGAUGUCUUUGCUUGAACCCAAGUCCAAAACUGAACUCACCCUUUGCCCUUUAACUCAUAGAAAUUCAAAUGAGGCAAAGGUGAGGAGAGAGAACAACUUAAAUCAGUGGUUCUCAACCUUGUCUGCACCUUAGAAUCUCUAAGGAGCUUUUAAGAAUUCAGAUGCGUACACUGUUCUCUAGAAGGAUGGAAUCAGAAUCUCUGGGGGUGGAACCCAGGCAUCUGUAUUUUUCAAAGCUCCCCAGGUGAUUCCAAUGUGCAGCCAAGGUUGAGAAUCAUAGACUCAAAUAGUGCUUGGAGUUCCUGCUGGUCAUUCUACCCAUGGCCGAAAACCCUGGGGUGAAGAAGUGGAAGACCUGAUUCUUCUAUUUCUGUGGAGUUCCUUGUGUUUUUCCUGUAAUGAGCAUCUCUCCAUGCUGAGUGCGAUUUUUGGGGUUUAAGAUCUGUAUUUCAGCUGAGAGCAGUGGCAUGCACCUAUAACCCCAGCUGCUUAGGAGGCUGAGGCAGGAGGAUCG
rnacentral:lncRNA from 1 species